CCUUCGGGAUUAGUGGCGGACGGGUGAGUAACACGUGGGAACGUGCCUUUUGGUUCGGAACAACUCAGGGAAACUUGAGCUAAUACCGGAUAAGCCUUUCGAGGGAAAGAUUUAUCGCCAUUAGAGCGGCCCGCGUAGGAUUAGCUAGUUGGUGGGGUAAAGGCCCACCAAGGCUACGAUCCUUAGCUGGUCUGAGAGGAUGAUCAGCCACAUUGGGACUGAGACACGGCCCAAACUCCUACGGGAGGCAGCAGUGGGGAAUCUUGCGCAAUGGGCGAAAGCCUGACGCAGCCAUGCCGCGUGAAUGAUGAAGGUCUUAGGAUUGUAAAAUUCUUUCACCGGGGACGAUAAUGACGGUACCCGGAGAAGAAGCCCCGGCUAACUUCGUGCCAGCAGCCGCGGUAAUACGAAGGGGGCUAGCGUUGCUCGGAAUUACUGGGCGUAAAGGGAGCGUAGGCGGAUAGUUUAGUCAGAGGUGAAAGCCCAGGGCUCAACCUUGGAAUUGCCCUUGAUACUGGCUAUCUUGAGUACGGAAGAGGUAUGUGGAACUCCGAGUGUAGAGGUGAAAUUCGUAGAUAUUCGGAAGAACACCAGUGGCGA
rnacentral:rRNA from 1 species